GUGACGUCCAAAAUUAUGAAUAUUAAAAAACAUUAUGAAUAUUACUCAAAAAUAUUUGGAGACAUCUGAUCUUAGAUGAUGCGACUAUUUAGCGUGCUUUUGCUUCGUGAACAGAAUAAAGUUUAACAAUUUAGAAAUCCAGGAGAUGGAAUACGUGAAUUUUAGUAGUGCGGCUCGUUUUGUUUGACUCAAAAGUUAAAUUCGAUAAACGAAAUGUAGUUGAUGUAUGCAUAGCAGGUAUUACUUAUGACUAUUUCUUUCAUAACCGCCCCGCAGUGGUUCAUGGUGAUCCAAGCACAAGAGUCAAUGUAAAUCAAAGCGUUUUUAAUAAUUACAGCACAUGCACAUACAGUGAAUUUCGUACAUGAUAUUACGUCGAACUUACCUAAGUACAUAUUAUUAAAAUUAAAAAUAUCUUACAAUUCUCAGGUUCCAUCUUAAUCCAUAUCAGUCGCGUACAAUGAUUGCACUUUUCCAAAAUUAGAUUUUUAGAUAACAGAGUUCAUUGAUUACUUAUUGGAAAUGCGAUAAUUAUGUGCAAAUACAAGAAAUGAAAUUGAAAUUGUCAAACUAUAGAGAAACUGUCACUUGCCUGUUUAGCAUUGUAGUGCUAAAAAGUUACCUGUUGAUUGCAACUAUUCAACAAUUAUUUCGGAAUACACCAAUUUGUCUCAAAUUUCCAUUUAGUCGAUUACAUUAUUUUGGCAAAACAGGCUUACAAUAAUUUUUUUGUUGUCUGGAAUAAUUUCAGGAAUCAUUGUUUCUGAAUAUAAAAUCUGUUUUUAUUUAUACAGGCCUAAUUUUUUGAUCGAUAUUCACUUUCCUAUACAAAAAAUCCCACUAAAAUAGUUCAAACACCAUAAAGUGUACUUCUAAACAUGUUUGGUUAUAGUAUGUCCAAUUGUCAGUUACUUGACCACUUAUUUACAAAGACCCCAAUAGAUUGAUUCAUCAUUAUUUGUUUGGUAAACAUAGAGGAAAGUGCUCUAUCUGCCAUCCUGAAUAGGAAGAAGUUGGUGGAAAGAAUAUUUAUGUUGAGAAAAAAUUUGUUGUGAAGUUAUGCUCAAGCGUAUUUGUUAAUUCUUCUGUUUGUUGUUGGAUAAAUGAAAUAAGAUUAUGAGAAGAGGUGGUGUAAGUCAUGUUGA